rnacentral:sRNA from 1 species
UGUUUUGUACUGGUAGAGACGAUGUUGU